GAAAAUCCGCCCUCAUAAGCCAACGGUUGGGACCGAUCGCGUUUAUGUUCGAGAAGUCAUCUGAAAGACGUCCAAGAAAAUCUUCUAAGGGUUGAAGUUGGCGUGACCGUACUAAAACUGACACAGGUAGGCGAGACGAGUAGUCUAAGGCGCUCGGGAGAACACUGGUUAAGGAACUCUGCAAAUUGACCCCGUAAGUUCGCGAUAAGGGGUGCCUCCGAGGGCUUACGCUCUUGGAGGUCACAGUAAAUCGGCUUCAGCGACUGUUUAUCAAAAACACAGGACUCUGCUAACUCGUAAGAGGAUGUAUAGAGUCUGACGCCUGCCCGGUGUUGGUAGGUUAAGGAAGAGGGUUAGCUCUUCGGAGUGAAGCUCGCAACCGAAGCCCCAAUAAACGGCGGCCGUAACUAUGACGGUCCUAAGGUAGCGAAGUUCCUUGUCGGGUAAGUUCCGACCUGCAUGAAUGGCGUAACGACUGAAGCACUGUCUCAACCAGUGACCCGGUGAAAUUGUAGUCGUGGUGAAGAUGCCACGUUCCCGCAGCUAGACGGAAAGACCCCGUGAACCUUCACUGCAGGCUGAUAUUGGGUUGAGGUAUGUUCUGUGUAGGAUAGGUGGGAGGCGUUGAUCUGGGCACGCCAGUGUCCAGGGAGCCAUCCUUGAAAUACCACCCUGAAUAUGCUUUAGUUCUAACUCUGAUUCCCGUGAAUCCGGGCAGAGGACAUUUUCAGUUGGGCAGUUUGACUGGGGCGGUCUCCUCCAAAAAGGUAACGGAGGAGUUCAAAGGUACCCUCAGCCUGGUUGGCAAUCAGGCUUCGAGCGCAAAGGUAGAAGGGUGCUUAACUGCGAGACUCAUAAAUCGAGCAGAUACGAAAGUAGGACUUAGUGAUCCGGUGGUCCCGUGUGGAAGGGCCAUCGCUCAUCAGAUAAAAGGCACUCUGGGGAUAACAGGCUUAUCGCUUCCGAGCGUCCAUAGCGGCGAAGCGGUUUGGCACCUCGAUGUCGGCUCAUCACAUCCUGGGGGUGAAGAAGCUCCCAAGGGUUUGGCUGUUCGCCAAUGAAAGUGGUACGUGAGCUGGGUUCAGACCGUCAUGAGACAGGUCGGUCCCUAUCUGCUGUGGGCGCACGAAACUUGCGGAGGUUCUUCUUUAGUACGAGAGGAUUUGGAAGGACGUUCCUCUAGUUUUCCAGUUGUCACGCUAGUGGCACGGCUGGGUAGCUAUGAACGGAAAGGAUAAACGCUGAAAGCAUAUAAGCGUGAAGCCCGCUCCAAGAUCAGGUUUCGUAGGGCAAUGCCCGAAAGUCCCCUGGAAGACGACCAGGUUGAUAGGCCGGAUGUGUACGUGGAGUAAUCCAUUCAGCUAACCGGUACUAACGGACGAAUGCUUGGCCAC
rnacentral:rRNA from 1 species